rnacentral:rRNA from 1 species
CGGGGUGCACCAGGCGCGAAAACUUUACAAUGCUGGCAACAGCGAUAAGGGGACCUCGAGUGCCAGGAUGCAAUCUUGGCUGUCGUGAUGCCUAAAAAGCAUUACAUAGCAAGGGCCGGGCAAGACCGGUGCCAGCCGCCGCGGUAACACCGGCGGCUCGAGUGGUAACCGCUAUUAUUGGGUCUAAAGGGUCUGUAGCCGGCCGGAUAAGUCUCUUGGGAAAUCCAGCAGCUCAACUGUUGGGCUUCCAGGGGAUACUGUUCGGCUCGAGGCCGGGAGAGGUGAGAGGUACUUCAGGGGUAGGGGUGAAAUCUUGUAAUCCUUGAAGGACCACCAGUGGCGAAGGCGUCUCACCAGAACGGUCCUGACGGCAAGGGACGAAAGCUAGGGGCACGAACCGGAUUAGAUACCCGGGUAGUCCUAGCCGUAAACGAUACUCGCUAGGUGUCGGCCACGGUGCGACCGUGGUCGGUGCCGUAGGGAAGCCGUGAAGCGAGCCACCUGGGAAGUACGGCCGCAAGGCUGAAACUUAAAGGAAUUGGCGGGGGAGCACAAGGGCGAUUCGCG